AUGGGGGGAACCCUGAUCCAGCCAUGCCGCGUGUGUGAAGAAUGCCUUUUGGUUGUAAAGCACUUUAAGCGAGGAGGAGGCUACUCUAGUUAAUACCUAUGGGAUAGUGGACGUUACUCGCAGAAUAAGCACCGGCUAACUCUGUGCCAGCAGCCGCGGUAAUACAGAGGGUGCAAGCGUUAAUCGGAUUUACUGGGCGUAAAGCGCGCGUAGGUGGCCAAUUAAGUCAAAUGUGAAAUCCCCGAGCUUAACUUGGGAAUUGCAUUCGAUACUGGUUGGCUAGAGUAUGGGAGAGGAUGGUAGAAUUCCAGGUGUAGCGGUGAAAUGCGUAGAGAUCUGGAGGAAUACCGAUGGCGAAGGCAGCCAUCUGGCCUAAUACUGACACUGAGGUGCGAAAGCAUGGGGAGCAAACAGGAUUAGAUACCCUGGUAGUCCAUGCCGUAAACGAUGUCUACUAGCCGUUGGGGCCUUUGAGGCUUUAGUGGCGCAGCUAACGCGAUAAGUAGACCGCCUGGGGAGUACGGUCGCAAGACUAGAACUCAAAUGAAUUGACGGGGGCCCGCACAAGCGGUGGAGCAUGUGGUNNAAUUCGAUGCAACGCGA
rnacentral:rRNA from 1 species